AUGAACAUUGGUCCCCUGACUCGUUGGCUCUGGCGUAUCGCCAGUGGGGAGGGAGGCCUCUGGCUUACUAUCAUUCGAAACAAGUACCUUCGGGGCCAACCCCUAACUUUCUGUCAGCAUUCUGGUGGCUCCCAGUUCUGGCAGGCUGUGAUUCAGCUAUUACCUGUGCUCCGCAUCGGCACGUCCAUCUCGGUUGGCUCUGAGUCCUCGAUCCUAUUCUGGUUCGACCGCUAGUUAGGGGACUCCCCCCUGGCCACUCGAUUCCCGGACCUAUUCGCCAUAGCGGUCGACCCUCGGGUCUCUGUCGAGACUGCCCUUAUUGACUUAGGGCGUCUCGCUUUCCGGCGCCCCUUCGGCCCCCUUGAGGUUGCCGCUUGGGACUCCCUCCUCUAGGAGAUCGCUCUUAUUUCGAUGGACGUCGAGGGUGCCCCUGACUCCAUCUCUUGGCGUCUGGAGCCAUCCGACCAUUUCUCCACUAAGUCCUUAUACGCGACCAUCGCACCCUCGUCGGCCCCUGAGCCCUUUAGCCUGAUCUGGGACAUUCGCCUCCCCCUGAAGAUCAGGAUCUUCCUGUGGCAGUGGAUCCGGGGACGCCUUCCCUCUAGGGUAGAGGUCCUCAAGCGUAAUGGACCAGGAGAUGGGAUGUGUCCCUUGUGCGGCACAGUGGAGGAUACUAACCACAUCUUCUCCUGCUCCACAGCCCAAUUCCUGUGGUCAUGCUUUCGCGAGACGGUCGAUGGGCACUGGUGCAACACCAACUUCCCCGACUUUCUUGCGGAGAUCCACGCCUCCCCCUCGCUACCACCAUAUUAG
rnacentral:rRNA from 1 species